AUUGAACGCUGGCGGCAGGCUUAACACAUGCAAGUCGAGCGGGGUGAUGGUGCUUGCACUAUCACUUAGCGGCGGACGGGUGAGUAAUGCUUAGGAAUCUGCCUAUUAGUGGGGGACAACAUCUCGAAAGGGAUGCUAAUACCGCAUACGUCCUACGGGAGAAAGCAGGGGAUCACUUGUGACCUUGCGCUAAUAGAUGAGCCUAAGUCGGAUUAGCUAGUUGGUGGGGUAAAGGCCUACCAAGGCGACGAUCUGUAGCGGGUCUGAGAGGAUGAUCCGCCACACUGGGACUGAGACACGGCCCAGACUCCUACGGGAGGCAGCAGUGGGGAAGAUUGGACAAGGGGGGGAACCCUGAUCCAGCCAUGCCGCGUGUGUGAAGAAGGCCUUAUGGUUGUAAAGCACUUUAAGCGAGGAGGAGGCUCUUUUGGUUAAUACCCAAGAUGAGUGGACGUUACUCGCAGAAUAAGCACCGGCUAACUCUGUGCCAGCCGCCGCGGUAA
rnacentral:rRNA from 1 species